UGCUGAACGACAUGCUCCUGAAUCAAUCAGGACAGGUGCAUAAACAUGCAGCGGCUAUGGAUAGUUUUGUUUCGCCAGCAUACAAUAUAAUUGCAGUUGAAGGCAAAUCCUUCAGAAGUUCUUUGUACUUUAUUCUAACAACGAAUAUUUUUUGAUAGGGAAUAUAAGUAAGGGGGAAAGAAACCAAUUUUUUGUUCUUCACGGAAAUACC
rnacentral:lncRNA from 1 species